AUAUGCAUUCACAUAUUUUUUUUUCUUGCAGUGUACAUUGUCUCUUGUUAAAGUGUAGCUCCCAGAGGAAAAAGACAGUUCAAACUCUUGCAGGAAAAAUACAGAUUUCACACAAAAGUGAAGAUUAUGUACAAAUCUCUAAAAGCUACCUGUAUGAAAUAGCACAGGAUUAGUGAUUAUUAUCCAUGUACAGUUUGCAUAAUUUGGAUACCCGUGUGGAAAUCCUGGACUUUCGAUUGUACCAUUAGGACCCUGGACUAAACCACCACAGUUUUGCCCUGUAAAAGAAAAGACAUAUGCUAUCCAGAGAGGUGUGAACCAGGAACUUGGGAAAAAAGUCAUUUGGCAGGCAAAGUAGUUGAGAAAAUGCAUCUCAAAUGGGUAU